AUACGUAGGGGGCGAGCGUUGUCCGGAAUGAUUGGGCGUAAAGGGCGCGUAGGCGGCGCGGUAAGUCUGGAGUGAAAGUCCUGCUUUCAAGGUGGGAAUUGCUUUGGAUACUGCCGCGCUUGAGUGCAGGAGAGGUUAUCGGAAUUCCCGGUGUAGCGGUGAAAUGCGUAGAGAUCGGGAGGAACACCAGUGGCGAAGGCGGGUAACUGGACUGCAACUGACGCUGAGGCGCGAAAGUGUGGGGAGCAAACAGGAUUAGAUACCCUGGUAGUCCACACUGUAAACGAUGAAUGCUAGGUGUAAGAGGUAUCGACCCCUUUUGUGCCGGAGUCAACACAAUAAGCAUUCCGCCUGGGGAGCACGGCCGCAAGGUUGAAACUCAAAGGAAUUGACGGGG
rnacentral:rRNA from 1 species